rnacentral:rRNA from 1 species
CCUGGCUCAGGAUGAACGCUGGCGGCGUGCUUAACACAUGCAAGUCGAACGAACCUUCGGGUUAGUGGCGGACGGGUGAGUAACGCGUGAGAAUCUGCCCUCAGGAGGGGGACAACAGCUGGAAACGGCUGCUAAUACCCCAUAUGCCGCGAGGUGAAAUGAAUUUCGCCUGAGGAUGAGCUCGCGUCUGAUUAGCUAGUUGGUGUAGGUAAUGGCUCACCAAGGCAUCGAUCAGUAGCUGGUCUGAGAGGAUGAUCAGCCACACUGGGACUGAGACACGGCCCAGACUCCUACGGGAGGCAGCAGUGGGGAAUUUUCCGCAAUGGGCGAAAGCCUGACGGAGCAACGCCGCGUGAGGGAUGAAGGCCUCUGGGCUGUAAACCUCUUUUAUCAAGGAAGAAGAUCUGACGGUACUUGAUGAAUAAGCCACGGCUAAUUCCGUGCCAGCAGCCGCGGUAAUACGGGAGUGGCAAGCGUUAUCCGGAAUUAUUGGGCGUAAAGCGUCCGCAGGCGGCCCUUCAAGUCUGCUGUUAAAAAGUGGAGCUUAACUCCAUCAUGGCAGUGGAAACUGUUGGGCUUGAGUGUGGUAGGGGCAGAGGGAAUUCCCGGUGUAGCGGUGAAAUGCGUAGAUAUCGGGAAGAACACCAGUGGCGAAGGCGCUCUGCUGGGCCAUCACUGACGCUCAUGGACGAAAGCCAGGGGAGCGAAAGGGAUUAGAUACCCCUGUAGUCCUGGCCGUAAACGAUGAACACUAGGUGUCGGGGGAAUCGACCCCCUCGGUGUCGUAGCCAACGCGUUAAGUGUUCCGCCUGGGGAGUACGCACGCAAGUGUGAAACUCAAAGGAAUUGACGGGGGCCCGCACAAGCGGUGGAGUAUGUGGUUUAAUUCGAUGCAACGCGAAGAACCUUACCAGGGUUUGACAUCCUGCGAAUCUCUUGGAAACAGGAGAGUGCCUUCGGGAACGCAGUGACAGGUGGUGCAUGGCUGUCGUCAGCUCGUGUCGUGAGACGUUGGGUUAAGUCCCGCAACGAGCGCAACCCACGUCUUUAGUUGCCAGCAUUUAGUUGGGCACUCUAGAGAGACUGCCGGUGAUAAACCGGAGGAAGGUGUGGAUGACGUCAAGUCAUCAUGCCCCUUACAUCCUGGGCUACACACGUACUACAAUGCUACGGACAAAGGGCAGCAAGUUCGCGAGGACAAGCAAAUCCCAUAAACCGUGGCUCAGUUCAGAUCGUAGGCUGCAACUCGCCUACGUGAAGGCGGAAUCGCUAGUAAUCGCAGGUCAGCAUACUGCGGUGAAUACGUUCCCGGGCCUUGUACACACCGCCCGUCACACCAUGGAAGUUGGCCACGCCCGAAGCCGUUACUCCAACCCUUGUGGAGGAGGACGUCGAAGGUGGGGCUGAUGACUGGGGUGAAGUCG